UCAUGUCACUAGACUUUAUUAAUUAUGGUAUGUAAGAUACCAUAGAAAGGGCUUUACGCUUCUAAAAUACGGUGUCCUCCAUUUUUCCAUGACCAGAACUCGGACGGAAAUUUAGACCCUUUACCCGUAGAGAAUAAAGAUCAAUAGAUGCUAGCAGAAGAUAUAAUCAAGACAUAGGUAUUUGAUCCUUUAUCAUAAAAAGUUGAAAAUGAAAGGACCAUUAUCGGUAUAAUAAGUGUACUAAAGGCAUCAGUUAAAGGCGAAUCGAUGUCAUUAAAGUUAAGUUGCUUAAUACAUAAAAACGUGCCAAACUGCAGCGCAAUAUACCACGAAAAUUGAAAACAAAGGUAGGUCGCUCGAGGCAGCCUAUAUAGACGAUGGUCUAAAUUCUUACAAUGUAGACUAAUUCUCUACAAUGAAAAAAAUGAACACUAAAAGAACAAAAUAGUUUUGAAAGCAGGAAAUUUCAACACUAUGCACAGUGUGAUUGAAAACUAUACACUGCUGUUCUGAAAUAACCGUCAAGUCGAAUAGUGUACUAUUCUAUAAUAAUAGAGGACAUUAUGUCCGAGGUAAUUCGAUUACAGAGGUAAUGGCCGAGGUAAUUAUAAUUACUAUUAUAAUAUGUGAUUAUCGUGGCUGAUAUAGAGGGCGCAGCGGUAACCAAAAGAAUAGUAGAGGAACUGGUUCCUUUUGGACCAUCAAAACAAUAACUACCGAUAUAAUAAAAAUAUCGCCAGAAAUAUUCAGACGGAAAACUUCUAGACCCCCUUGAGAAUAAACAGUAAGGUUAUAAGAUGAUAUUUUUUUCCUACCUUAAUGUAAAUUUAAACAAACAUUAUAAUAUUGAGCGGUACCCUUACAGCACAAUACGCUUCACAAAAAGACAACAUAUGUACAUAAGACAUACGCUAAAAAAAGUACAACAUGACAAUUUAUGUAUGAAUGAUUAAGAGAUAUAAAUGGUAAAUGUUCAAUAUAAAUCAUGAAUAAAAUUUUAACAUAAAUUUUUACAUAAAAGUAAAGAAAAAUAUCCACUAGGGACGACAGGAAUAUUAAUAGUCCGCCUGCAUCGGUGAUUUAUGUCUUAUUAACCAUGGCAGACAUUAAUAAAAGAUCUUGAAGAGACGAAGUCGACAUUUGAUAAGUCAUAAGAUUUAGUAAACGACAAAUCUGGGGUUCUGGUAGUCUCAGAUGUUAUGACCAUGCGCAAACAUCCUACCUAGGAUACCCGCGUAAUAAUACCCGGGGCCCUUUAUCGCCAAUCGCAUUACCUAUCGAAAAGGCCCUAUCAUCGACUCUAACUGCAACACCAUUCAAAGAUUUGAGAAGGGCUACACGGAGUUUUAGCACAACGAUGAAAUAAGUGGUAGCUUGGAAGGCGGUAGGAAUCAACGCGGCACUGAUGUAGUCAGCAGUUCGAACGGAACUUACGGGCACCCUCGCUUUCAGGAAGUUAGGGGCAAGCUUGGCGUUGAAAGCUUUGCUGAAAUCACACAGCACGAAGCUCCUCCGGAAGACAUCCUGUCCCGGCUUGGCGUGCAGUGUGCGGGCUGGCUUGUCAUAACCGCCCUCGAGGUGUUUCUGGACUUUGGCGUGGAUGACUCGGAACUUAUUCUUUGCCUGCAUCCCUUCCAUUUUAUGGUCGCACGUAGACCUCAGCUGUCUGGCUAGCUUAUAACUGGCUCCAUUCAGAAACAUGUGAUGACUGAAUACACGAUAAAUAUCCGUGCGUGACCACUCUUGGACCACUCUUGGAAAUGACCUUUCAGCUUCUACUCUUUUUCCUCGAACGAACUCCCUUACCUGGAUGAUCAACCCAUGGCCAAUAAAAGUGCCGUCGCAGGAUCUCCAGUGUCUUAGCUAUUCAACCAGGAGCUCAUCACUCAGGCUUGGAAUUCCGCUGCGCUUGAAGAUGAGGCCGUUGCCGACAUUAAGAUCCGGUAAGUUUGUUCUUGACUUUUUGAACUAACUCCCGAUAGUCUUCGGCUGAAAAUUGGGUCGUUUCGAACCCCAAUAACUUUGUUAGAUCUGCCAAGACUACCUCGACGUACUGUGACAGGGCAUCAGCGUAGUAGUUGACCUGGUGUUUAUUCAUCUUGGCCGAGAAGAAACUCGAUCACCUGCUCCUCGCCGUCGUGCUUCCGCAGAAACAGUACCGCCCCAAUGCCAACUUUAUAUGAGUCGCACUGGAUGAAAUCUUCUUCAAAUCCUCAUGAACCAGGACCGGUGCGCUCUUCAGAUCGUCUACUGCUCGUGCUGCGCUGAAACUGAAGACAAUUUUCCUUGUUUUCGCUUUUUUCAAAUCCUCGGAAAGUGGUCUUGCCAGUGUAGUGAAGUUCUUCACGAAGCGGCGAUACCAUACCGCUGUGCCAAGAAAGGCUCGUACUUCGUUCAUGCAUCUCGGGUAUGGUAUCCUCUGAAUCGUCGAAACUUGACCAGAGUCCAUGCGCAACAGUUCACCCUCUAUAAACCCAAGGUAAGUCAAUGCUUUAAAGCAAAACUUUGAUUUUUAGGACGAUUGUUAAGAAAGUUGAUUUCCGGCUCCGGGCAACUAGAAGUAGGCACUUUAGGUGCGUCUGGAAAUCCAGAUACACAAAAACGUUUGAUCUUAGCUCCGCUGGUAUCACCCGGUUCAUCAGCCGCACAAAGCGUUGCGCUGCGUUGCACAGUCCGCAUGUCAGGAACCGUAAACGCCGUGUCCAAUCCAAUCCAAUUCGAUCUGCCAGAACUCAAACUUGAGAUCCACUCUGGAGAUAUGUAUAGUGCGUCUGGUCAAUUAUGGAUGGGAUACAAUCAACACUGUGUAGAAAGUAUGCGUCCUUCACCGUCAAAGCGUUCAGCUUGCGGGCAUCUAGACAAAACCUGUCUUUCCCUGGUUUGGACACCACUGUCGUGCGGUUGCUCCACGGACUCUUACUUUCCUCGAUGACUCCCAACGCCAGCAUCUUGCCCAUUUCAUCCUCGACGACCUUUUGCUUCGCUGGAGACGUGGGAUAAGGUCGAUCCUUGAAGGGGCGGGCUCCUUCGACUAGCUCGAUAGAAUGCCCACGCGAGACACUCCUAGGCCCGUUCAAAGCAUUCGUGCCUGGGCGAAUCCCUCCCGCUCUCGGAUUGCCCAGCCGGCCGUUUUCCGCGCAUUCGGGGCUCUUCGGUAACACUGUGUCCGGUCGUCCACAGCGAUAGCAAAAAUAGCGGAUCUGGUGCGGAUCUUUUCUCGAGGACUUGUUGUUCGCCGUGCUCAUCGUGGACCUUCACCACAUUCACCCACAUUCUGCGUUGCUGCCCAUACGAAGCGCGUUCCCGGCGACCGGAACUCUGUUCUACCUCAAUGCACUCCUCACGAAGCUCAUCAACGCCACCCUUGCCAAUUUCCGUUCCGGCGGUGGCUUUUUUCAGGCGUGAGGCGAGGUGCUGCAUGGAAUGGAUAUAAUCGUCAGCGCUUUCCCCGGCUGUGGUCCAAACUGGUGGCCGAUGUCUUUGCAUGUGCGCAAUUCUGGUGGUCCCCAACAAUGUCUACCCGCCUGUGUUAGAUGGCAUGGCCUCUGCGCCAGUACGUUCGCGCCAACAUCAAUCCCUCCUAGAACCCGAGAUCCUUGUCCGCCCUGUCCGCCAUGAGCCUGUGCCUGACGAUCCAUUGGCUUCAACACCUCGUUCAGCAUCCGCAUCAUUUCGAGGAAAUCAUUCCGAAUCUAUUUCCUCAGCAACGUACCAACUCCGGACUCCUGCUGUUUGUUUACCGCCGACUCCGCUGCAGUGUCGCGUAAGGGACUUUUCCUCUCUUGAACCUCUUGGUUUUGAACCUACGGCUGACCCAUCUCUUCAUAUAUGGUUUUUAAAUCUAUAUUUCUUGGCGAGCUGAUCCUGAAGUGGAGCCAACCAAAGAGUCUACUAAUAUUAUCGGCGUUCUGGGUAGACCCACAGCAACAUACACGACAACCCGACAGCUGUUGACCACACUUCGCCUUUGUCGACAACAUGACUCAAAUUUCGCUUAAAUUUUCCAAAAUUUCGCUUAAACGCUCCCUUAAUUCUGUUAAAAAUUCUUUCUCUGUAUUUGGUUUUUCUAGU